UUUUAAUUAGUUCAACUUUAAUGUUAUUGAAAAUGGGAAAAUCGAAUUGGAAUAUAAUCAGCCUAUACUUUGGCAAAUAGCCGAGUCAACUUGCCUUCCCCCUCUUUCCCGCCCAGCGCUUUCAAUGACCAAAGAAAAUUGUCGCCCAAAUCGUAAAUAUUUAUCAGCCUCACGACUCAGAGGGUGCUACAUAGACAUACAUAUAUAAUAUGUACAUAAUAUACAUAUAAAUAUAUACAUACAUACAUAUUUAACUCACAGUGAGUGAGCGAGCGAGCGAGAGGGAGAGAGAUAGCAGAACAAAAGCAAUGCGCACUUUAAUAAAAAAAUCACUCAUACGUAAUUUCAAUGGAAUUUUUUUUUUCGUCGCAUCUGCGCCUGCUUGUCCUCUUUUUCAGUGUUUGUCUGCCUCUGCUGCUUCUGCUUCUGCUUCUCUUUCUCUUUUUCUGUUUCGGUUUCUGCCUCUUCUUGUUGUUAAUCAUCAACGCUUUGAUUUUGUUUUGUAUCUUUCCCUAUGCUUUAUCUACUGCUUCGCACUUGGAUUUCGUUUUACUCUGUUCAUUGUUGUUGUUUUUUUUUCGCUUUGCUUUACUUUUCUUUCUCUACUGCUUUGUGACUCUGUUUCUUAUUGUUGUUGUUGUUGUUGUUGUUGUUGUUGUUGUUGAGCAAGGGCACACUUUAAGCAUUCCAAAAUCAACAAUCAUCAAUUUGAUUUGACACCAGCAAUAUCAUCAUCAUUAUCGUCAUCAUCCUGCUCAUCAUCAUCACCAUUAUCAUCAUUAUUAUUAAUUAGAUAUACAUCCAGAAUGUGAAUAAUCAAACCGAAUUGAAAGAGCAAUUCAAAGAUUUCUAUAUAUCUGUAUCUAUAUCUAUAUCUCAAAAGCAAGCUGUCCCUUGCAAACAAGCGUAUGUUAAUAACGCACAUAAUCACGCCAAUAUGGAGGUACGGUGUACAAGUUUGGGGAGUCGCCGCAAAGAGUAACCGACAAAAGAUCCAGAUAAUGCAGAACAAGGCCUUGCGCCAAAUCACUGGAUGCCCCUGGUUCGUAAGAAACUCCUCCUUGCAUAGAGAUCUCAAAAUGGAUUCAGUGGAAGAGCAGAUCUCAUUUCAUUCAAGCCGGUAUAAUGAUCGCCUCAAGUCCCACGCCAACCGGCUGGCAAGAAAGCUGCCAAAUUCGAAACCCAUUCGUCGAUUAAAAAGACGACAGUUCGAAAACCUCAUCGCUAAUAGUAAUUAAUUUACUUAAAUAUAUAUGUUUAAAUUUAGUAGUAAACGUUAAACCUGUGAUGUAAAUUUUGUUUCAAGGAAGAUUAUAGGGCAAAAUGAUGCUCUGGCGCUUCCUACUAAUAAAAAAAAAAAAAAAAAAAAAAAAAAAA